AGUGAACGCUGGCGGUAGGCCUAACACAUGCAAGUCGAACGGCAGCACAGUAAGAGCUUGCUCUUACGGGUGGCGAGUGGCGGACGGGUGAGGAAUACAUCGGAAUCUACUUUUUCGUGGGGGAUAACGUAGGGAAACUUACGCUAAUACCGCAUACGACCUACGGGUGAAAGCAGGGGAUCUUCGGACCUUGCGCGAUUGAAUGAGCCGAUGUCGGAUUAGCUAGUUGGCGGGGUAAAGGCCCACCAAGGCGACGAUCCGUAGCUGGUCUGAGAGGAUGAUCAGCCACACUGGAACUGAGACACGGUCCAGACUCCUACGGGAGGCAGCAGUGGGGAAUAUUGGACAAUGGGCGCAAGCCUGAUCCAGCCAUACCGCGUGGGUGAAGAAGGCCUUCGGGUUGUAAAGCCCUUUUGUUGGGAAAGAAAAGCAGCAGGUUAAUACCCCGCUGUUCUGACGGUACCCAAAGAAUAAGCACCGGCUAACCUCGUGC
rnacentral:rRNA from 1 species